UACGGAGGGUGCAAGCGUUGCUCGGAAUUAUUGGGCGUAAAGGGUAGGUAGGUGGUCUCAUUUGUCUGGGGUGAAAGCCUUGAGCUUAACUCAAGAAGUGCCCCAGAAACGGUGAGACUGGAGUCUUGGAGAGGGUCGUGGAAUUCCCGGUGUAGCGGUGAAAUGCGUAGAGAUCGGGAGGAACACCAGAGGCGAAGGCGACUACCUGGCCUGUUUCUUGACGCUGAGGCGCGAAAGCUAGGGGAGCAAACGGG
rnacentral:rRNA from 1 species